GGAUGAGCGUGAGGGGAGUGCGUGAAAGAACCUGAGCGCCUGGGACUGGCUUCUCCGUGACAGCCCCUGACCCGGGGUGCUGUGGCUCCGGGUCCUCUCGCAACCUGUACGCCCCAGCCUGGGCGCCCCUCGGGCUGCAGGCGUAACGCCCGCAUGGCCUCGGCGGAGAGUGGGCUUCUGGCACGGGUCAGCUUCCCACCUUCCUGCACCUGCCCCGAGGCCCGCCGGAUCUCGCGCGUCCAUCCGUACACUGUGUAAGGGGUGCGGGGAGCCGCUGGACCUCAGCUCGACUGCAAAGGUCACGCUAAAGAGGGCUUAGUAGAUUCUGUUUUUCUGUUCUCUAUCGAUACGUUUUGCAAUGAAAGCCAAUUUGGAGAUUUUUGCUCCUGGAAUGAGGAAGGAAUUGGCAAACAUGGCUGUAGUUGGCGGCAAAAACAGAAGUUUGAGACACACCAGGUCCUUCAAUGGCAAGCUUUAUUUACUUACAUAAUUACUUGAAGGAAAGAGAUAGAGAGAGACACAAGAAGCACUUUCCUUCACUGGUUCACUCCUCAAAUGCCCCGAACGGCUGGGGCCGUGCCUGACUAAGCUGGGAACUCAGUUCACUCCUCCACAUAAGCUGUUAUU